rnacentral:rRNA from 1 species
GACGAACGCUGGCGGCGUGCUUAACACAUGCAAGUCGAACGAAGAGCGACGGAAGCUUGCUUCUAUCAAUCUUAGUGGCGAACGGGUGAGUAACGCGUAAUCAACCUGCCCUUCAGAGGGGGACAACAGUUGGAAACGACUGCUAAUACCGCAUACGAUCUAAUCUCGGCAUCGAGGAUGGAUGAAAGGUGGCCUCUACAUGUAAGCUAUCACUGAAGGAGGGGAUUGCGUCUGAUUAGCUAGUUGGAGGGGUAACGGCCCACCAAGGCGAUGAUCAGUAGCCGGUCUGAGAGGAUGAACGGCCACAUUGGGACUGAGACACGGCCCAGACUCCUACGGGAGGCAGCAGUGGGGAAUCUUCCGCAAUAGACGAAAGUCUGACGGAGCAACGCCGCGUGAGUGAUGACGGCCUUCGGGUUGUAAAGCUCUGUUAAUCGGGACGAAAGGCCUUCUUGCGAAUAGUGAGAAGGAUUGACGGUACCGGAAUAGAAAGCCACGGCUAACUACGUG